ACGGGAUAAGCGCUGAAAGCAUCUAAGCGUGAAGCCCCCCUCAAGAUGAGAUUUCCCAAUUUAGUAAGACCCCUUGAAGACGACGAGGUAGAUAGGUUCGAGGUGGAAGCGCAGCAAUGCGUGGAGCUGACGAAUACUAAUCGGUCGAGGGCUUAUCCA
rnacentral:rRNA from 1 species